UUAAAGGCUAUGAAGGGAAGGAGUACAUAUCCAUUCUGUUUCAGAGAGAAGGUGGCUGGUGCGAACCUUUACAGAUAGAUAUGGAAGCAGUCCCAAAGCUGUGUGCUGAAAGUAAAGUAGGCAUUACCGUUGGCUUGCGUUAAGGCCUAGAGUGACCAAGUUGGUAAUUAGGGUGGUACCGCGGAAGUGAUCUUUCGUCCCUAGA
rnacentral:ncRNA from 1 species